UUUAGAACUUGAGAUAUGGGUUUAACACUGAAUAGUGUCUGGGCUGCAGGACAGAUUCAGACUUCUCUUUUGAUGCUAAGAUUUGGACUUCUAAAAGACAGAAUUGAGUCUUGGACUCCUAUGAAUGUUUUUAGGCCUAUGUCUUAGCUUUCUAUC
rfam:Populus trichocarpa scaffold_1_contig_356, whole genome shotgun sequence.